UACGGAGGGUGCGAGCGUUGUCCGGAUUCAUUGGGCGUAAAGAGCUCGUAGGCGGCUUGGCAAGUCAGAUGUGAAACCCUCAGGCUUAACCUGGGGCCGCCAUCUGAUACUGCUAUGGCUAGAGUCCGGUAGGGGAUCGUGGAAUUCCUGGAGUAGCGGUGAAAUGCACAGAUCUCAGGAGGAACACCAGUGGCGAAGGCGGCGAUCUGGGCCGGUACUGACGCUGAGGAGCGAAAGCGUGGGGAGCAAACAGG
rnacentral:rRNA from 1 species